GGGUUCUACCGUUGGUCAGGCUAUAGUCUGUACUGGCGUGUGGAAUUUCUACCUUCUGGGGAACUAUCAUGUUAUUAAUUUAGCGUGGUAGGAAACCAGAACCUUUACCUUGAAAAAAUUAGAGUGUUUAAAACAGGCAUUUUGCUUGAAUACAUUAGCAUGGAAUAACGGAAUAGGACU
rnacentral:rRNA from 1 species